rnacentral:misc_RNA from 1 species
ACAAAACGAUCCAAUAUGUCUGCGCCCAUGGCACGUUAGAUGGAUACUGUAUUUUGAAAAAUAACAACAAUAUAUAGCUCUAGAUGACUAUCGAGAUGCCCGAAUCAGGAGAAACUGCAGAUAAAAAACAAAAUGAUUUAUUUUUUGAAGAAGAUGACUUGCCAUUUGAAGAAGAAAUUCUUCGUAACCCAUACUCUGUGAAGUCAUGGUUGAGAUAUUUGGAAUAUAAGAAAGAAGCACCCAGGAGCACAGUUAAUUUGAUAUAUGAGAGGGCUCUGAAAGAGCUUCCUGGAAGCUAUAAACUAUGGUACAAUUACUUAAAACUACGAAGAAGACAAGUCAAGGGGCGUUGCCUAAAUGAUCCUGCCAUAGAAGAUGUUAUAAAUGCCCAUGAGAGAGCACUUGUUUUCAUGCACAAGAUGCCUAGAAUUUGGAUUGACUACUGUCAGUUUUUGGUAGACUACAGUAGAAUAACAAAAACAAGACGUACCUUUGAUAGAGCUCUCAGGGCUCUCCCAAUCACCCAGCAUCACAGGAUCUGGCCCAGAUACCUUAAGUUUGUACGAUUGUAUGACUUACCAGAAACAGCUAUUAGAGUGUACAGGAGGCAUUUAAAGCUACAGAAGGAGAAUACAGAAGAGUACAUAGAUUACUUGAUGAAGAUUGGAUGGCUAGAUGAAGCAGCCAACAAACUGGUGGAUAUCAUCAACGAUGAUUCCUUUGUGUCAAGAGCCGGCAAGUCCAAACACCAGCUGUGGAAUGAGCUGUGUGAUCUUGUUGCUAAGAACCCAGACAAGGUAACAUCACUGAAGAUAGAACCUAUCAUUCGGCAAGGACUGAAGAGAUACACAGAUCAGAUUGGUGUCUUGUGGAACUCUAUGGCUGAUUAUUACAUUAGAGGAGGUCAUUUUGAAAGAGCUCGUGACAUUUAUGAGGAAGCCAUUAUGACUGUGAUCACUGUGAGGGAUUUCACCCAGGUGUUUGAUGCUUAUGCUCAGUUUGAGAAGAACUUGAUCAGUUCUAAGAUGGAGAGUAUGGAAGAAACAGGUGCUUCAGAAGAAGAUGACCUAGAAUUGGAGCUGAGAUUAGCAAGGUUAGAGAAUCUGAUGGAAAGAAGACCACUUCUGUUGAACAGUGUUCUUCUGAGGCAAAACCCCCACAAUGUUCACGAAUGGCACAAAAGAGUCAAACUGUUUGAGGGAAAACCAAGGGAGAUAAUCAACACUUACACUGAAGCUGUUCAGACUGUUGACCCCAAACUUGCAUCAGGAAAACCCAAUACUUUGUGGGUGGAAUUUGCCAAAUUCUAUGAGAAAGCCGGACAGAUAGAAGAUGCCAGAAUUAUAUUUGACAAAGCAGUGAGAGUGCCCUACAAGCAUGUGGAUGACUUAGCUUCUGUGUGGUGUGAGUGGGCGGAGAUGGAAAUACGACAUGAAAAUAAUGAAGAAGCUCUGAAGUUAAUGCAAAGAGCUACCACGCCACCAUCAAGAAAAGUAUCCUACCAUGAUGAGAAUGAAACUGUUCAGAGUAGAGUUCAUAAAUCACUGAAGGUGUGGUCGCUGUAUGCAGAUCUGGAGGAGAGCUUUGGAACUUUUAAGACGUGCAAGUCAGUUUAUGAUAAAAUCAUCGACCUGCGAAUUGCCACUCCCCAGAUUGUUAUGAAUUAUGGUCUGUUCCUUGAAGAAAACAAUUAUUUUGAGGAGGCCUUCAAGGCAUAUGAGAAGGGAAUAGCAUUGUUCAAGUGGCCGAAUGUAUAUGACAUAUGGAAUACCUACCUUACAAAGUUUAUGGAACGAUAUGUAAGUAUUGUUCAUAGAUAGAAUUAUUCUCUGCAAAUAGCCUUAUAGAUGUUUGUAUUUCUCAUAUUUAAUUGGACACACAUUCAAUUCUGAAGGGUGGCUCAAAGUUGGAGAGAUCUCGAGAUUUGUUUGAACAGUGCUUGGAGAAUUGUCCAGCCAAGUUUGCUAAGAGUUUCUACCUGCUGUAUGCCAAGCUUGAGGAGGAGCAUGGCCUGGCCAGACAUGCUAUGGCUGUAUACGACCGAGCAACGAAAGCUGUGUUACCUGAGGAACAAAACGAGAUGUUUAAUGUGUACAUCAAGAGAGCUGCGGAGAUUUAUGGUGUCACCUACACGAGACCUAUCUAUGAGAAAGCCAUUGAAGUGUUACAUGAUGAACAGGCCCGGUCAAUGUGUUUGCGGUUUGCUGAUUUGGAAAGAAAACUUGGAGAAAUUGAUCGAGCUCGAGCCAUCUAUGCUCAUGCCUCGCAGAUUGCUGAUCCUAGGGUGGCAGCCAAUUUCUGGCAAGUUUGGAAAGAGUUUGAGAUCAAGCAUGGAAACGAGGACACUGUGAGAGAAAUGCUCCGAAUUAAACGCUCAGUACAAGCCAUCUAUAACACACAGGUCAACUUUAUGUCUGCACAGAUGUUAGCAGCUUCAAGUGGAAAAGGAGAUAAUGCAGGAGAGAGUAGUGACAAUAUGCAGAAACUGGAGGAGAGAGCAAGACAGUUGGCCGAGGAAUCUGUCAAAGACCAGGCCAAACCCGACAAAGGCAUUCUGUUUGUCAGGAGUGACAAUACACAAGAAGAACUGGGAGAGCUGGCAAAAACUGCCAACCCUGAUGCUAUUGACAUUGAUGAUGAUUUCUCUAGUGAUGAGGAGGCACAGGUGGAAGAAAUGGAAGUGAAGUCUGUUCCAACUGAAGUUUUUGGGUCUCUAAAGAAUGAGGAGGAAGAGGAGGAUUGAACAGAAUUUAACAGCAUCUGCAUUCAAUUCUAUCGUAAACCUCGAAAGUAACAUUGAUGUCACAUGUGAUUGGUUGACUGAUAGAUAGAGAGAAACUAUUAUUCAGUUCACGAAAUUGAUCGUUACAAGUUUGAAAAUUCAGAAAAUGGAAGGAACAAUUAACUGUAAACUGCAUUUGAUGUAGAAUAUGAUGUAUAUUGUAUCAGUAGUUCACCAGUUUUACUGUACAACUUUGAAAAUAAAUGAGUGACAC